GUACCUUUACCUUUACCUAGUUAAUGAAAUAAAAAUCUUUAUUAAUUUGGUCGUGUAAACAUGUUAUUAUUAUUAUUGGCCUGUUUGGCUAAUGGGCCCCCACUGGGUUACUUCAGAUAUCAGACAGAAAGUGAUGUAAAUAAGAAAUGUGACUAUUACCCCCAGCGUUCUGCAAGUCUUCCUCGAUAUGGCCUAGCCCAGGGGUUUCCAAACUAGGGUUCAUGGCAAGCUUUAUUCAGGUGGUUCGCAAUGUGUCUCAUGAAAAACAGCUACAAUUUGAAUUUUAAUGAAGUCUAAGGAAUUCAAAUUGCAGUACAGU